AACGAACGCUGGCGGCAUGCCUAACACAUGCAAGUCGAACGGAACCUUCGGGUCUUGUGGCGGACGUGUGGGUACCACGUGGGGACCUACCCUUGGGUUAGGAGUACCUCCCUGAGGGGGGUGCUCAUGCCGGAUAGUCUCUUCGGACCAAAGAUUUCUCGCCGUGGGAUGGGCCCGCGUGGGAUUCGCUGGUUGGUAGGGUAAAAGCGUACCAAGGCGACGAUGCAUAGCUGGUCUGAGAGGAUGACCAGCCACACUUGGACUGAGACACGGCCCAGACUCCGACGGGAGGGAGCAGUGGGGAAUAUUGGACAAGGGGCGAUAGUCUGAUCCAGCAAUGCGGGGGAAGUGAGGAAGGCCGUAGGGUUGUAAAGCUGUUUUAGCCGGGAUGAUAAUGACAGUACCGGGAGAAUAAGCUCCGGCUAACUCCGUG
rnacentral:rRNA from 1 species